rnacentral:lncRNA from 1 species
GAUGUACUGGGUCCUCCCAAUUCUUAGUCCUUUAAUACCUAUUUUUCUCCUUCUUUUAUUCGGACCUUGUAUCUGCCGUUUAGUUUCUCAAUUCAUCCAAAACCGUAUCCAGGCCAUCACCAAUCAUUCUAUACAACAAAUGCUCCUUCCAACAACCCCACAAUAUCACCCCUUACCACAAAAUCCUCCUGCAAGUUGACCUCUCCCACUCUAGGUUCCCACGCCACACCUAAUCCCGCUCGAAGAAGCCCUGAGAAACAUCGCCCAUUAUCUCUCCAUGCUACCCCCCGCACCCAAAUUUUUUUUUCGAGCUUAAAAGUCUAAGCUUAAAAUCAUAAUGAAUAAUUUUUAAAAUAUUGACUUUUAUCCAGUCUGUAUUUCAGAAAAAGAAGAUGAACCCUAUAGAAUGAUAUUUUAGAUAAAUAGUUCGCAGGGUUUCUCUUAUCAUAACAUUGUCAAAGAUAUUAAAAUAAUUUUAUCAGAAUUCAUUUAAUGAAUACUCCACAUUUCUGAGAUUAUUUUUGAAUUUUUGAUAUAUUAAUAUUGAUAAGCAAUAAAUUCCAAGAAAUCAAGCAUGUUACGAAGAGGUAAUAUAUAAUUCAAUGAAGAAAAAUAUUCUAAUUACAGGUAGAAAUAUUAGAAAAAGAAGGUAAAAUUAUUUGAAGGUAAUGUGAGUGCAGAUUUGGUAGCAUUAAAACACCAUAUUCUAUGAAUGAUAAGGAGGUGAAUGGCAGCAAAUAUUCACUAAUUUGAAAUUAUUAAUUUUAAUUGAGUAUGCAUAUUUCCUCAGAGAAUGUCCUUAAGAAAUUAUAUCAGACAAAAUAUUACAAGUAAGUGUUAGUUCCACAUUGAUAAAUGGGAGAGAGAGAGAUUAUCUCAUAGUAAAUUUGUAAGAUUAAAUGAAGGAACAUAGAU